UACGUAGGGCGCAAGCGUUGUCCGGAAUUAUUGGGCGUAAAGAGCUCGUAGGCGGUCUGUCGCGUCUGCCGUGAAAACCCGAGGCUUAACCUCGUGGCUUGCGGUGGAUACGGGCAGACUAGAGGUAGGUAGGGGAGAAUGGAAUUCCCGGUGUAGCGGUGAAAUGCGCAGAUAUCGGGAGGAACACCGGUGGCGAAGGCGGUUCUCUGGGCCUUACCUGACGCUGAGGCACGAAGGUCAGGGGAGCAAACGGG
rnacentral:rRNA from 1 species